CCCCGCCCCCUCCGGCACCCCCCGCGGGCGGGCCACCCGGGCCACCGCCAGCGCAGGCAUCAGACAGCGCACGCGGGCGGAGGGCACGACGCAAGCUGGGACCCUGGGGAUGCCGGCCCGGGUUCUUUUAAGACGGUCUCUGGCCGCAGGCGACAGCAGCCUCGCCCGCCAUUAGCCCGCCUCUCUCUGGACACCAGCGGCCAGGGCGCGGGGCGUUGAGCUCUGGGACGCGCCCAACUUGGAAAGCGUCUGGCUCGCCCCGGCGCGCUACUUCUCCGGCGGGCGCCGGGCGCACGGACACAUACUGCCCCCACCCCUCCGCGCCUGCGAGUUGCGGCUCACCCUCCCCUGUGCAGAGCUGUCGCCUGGCUUUCCGUGGGAGCCUUCCAGCAGAUCCUGGGCUGGAAAGGACAAGGAGCCGUGGGGAGGGAAGUUAGGGCUUCCGCUUUCUCUCCCCACUCCAGCGGCGGCGUUCUGUCCUCUGGGUGGGAUGUGCUCGCAGAAGAGGUGGCGGCGGCAGCAGCGGAGGCGCCGAAGCCAUGCACCCGCAGCCGGAGACAAGACGAUGGCCAAGGAGGAAGAGACCGGGUGCACCAGCCGGGUGAAGUCCCAGGGCCGCAGAGCCGCGCCUGGAAUCUGUCCUGGAGACGCCUUCUCCUCCACCUCGGACACUUUAAGCAGCGGUGGCGGCAAACGGCGUGGGCUUGCAGACCCGACAGCGGGCUUCUCUCGUUCCGACGUUGCUCUGACCUCCGGAGAUGACAAGCGAGCAAGAAGUGUCCAGCCGGGCCAUCCCCUUCAGGAAUGUUUAAGGCUACUGGCUUUGGAGUCCUGAAAAGCUACAAUGAAAAGAUUGUGUUUGGCUUUAAAAGCAUGACCAACGAGAAGAGACCAAAUACACAUCACCUUUGGCCUGACAGCCACUGAGAACACAGCCCUGCUGCUGGAGCUCUUUCACAUUUGUCCCCAGAUGGGACACAGUCCCAAUGCCAUACAUUCUAAUGUCCAUUGGAAUCGCUUUUAAAUGAUGAUGAAAGGAACUGGCAGGGUGGGGUGUUUUUAUGUGGGCCGUUAGCAACAGACCAAGGGAAAUGCCACAUUCUGUUCAAGUUACUUUUUUCUGCUCCAUUUUUAAAUCUCUAAGCUCUUGCCAUCCAUAUGUAUCUGACUGUAUGAAUUUUAAGAGUUGAGGAGUUGGGGUUCCUUAGUUUUCACAGAAUCAGGAAAUACGGUACAGGCAGGCAAAAAGAGCUAUGUGACUCUUAGCAGGUCACCAGAUGUCUCUGACCUCAGAGUACUAAUCUGGCAAUUCAGGAUUAUUGAUCUAAAGUCCAUGAUUCAACUCAUCUGCAGGAUCAGAGGGACCUGGAAUCACCCCCAGGAGUCUGAGACUCACACCUGAACUGAGAGGCUACCUGCUAAGGCAUCUUUAAGACCUCUCUCUAGCAUGAUAAGUCAAGAAAAGAUUCAGAGAAAGCUAUUUCUGUUCUUUGUAUUUUAUCAAUGUGUUUAUUUACUUCUAAAAAUUACUACAAGGCAACUCAAAUAUUUUGGAAUUAAGGAAUAUAUUUACCAAUUAGUAAAGUCUUUACUGACUGUGAUUAAAUUAGUGGAUGAAUUUUUUUUUCAGACCCAAGUGAAGAGGACACAAGCUUAUUAAAACAUUAAUUCUCCUAUAUUGUAAUCUUAUCCAAUAAACAGAAUAGCAAGGUCA
rnacentral:lncRNA from 1 species